GACGAACGCUGGCGGCGUGCUUAACACAUGCAAGUCGAACGGCAAGGCCCUGCUUUUGUGGGGUGCCCGAGUGGCGAACGGGUGAGUAACACGUGAGUAACCUACCCUUGAUUUUGGUAUAACUUCAGGAACCUGGGGCUAAUCCCGUAUAGGAGCCCCCGCUGCAUGGUAUGGGUUGGAUAGUUGCGGCGGGAGGGGAUGGACUCGCGGCUUAUGAGCUAGUUGGUCGGGUAGUGGCUUACCAAGGCUUUGACGGGUAGCCUGCCUGAGAAGGUGACCGGCCACAUUGGGACUAAGAUACGGCCCAGACUCCUACGGGAGGCAGCGGUGGGGAGUAUUACACAAUCAGCCGAAGCCUGAUGCAGAAGCGCCGCGUGCGUAAUGACGGCCUUCGGGUUGUAAACCGCAGUCGCCUGUGACGAAGCGUUAGUGACGGUAAUGGAUAAAGAAGCACCGGCUAACUACGUG
rnacentral:rRNA from 1 species